AAGUGGGGGACCUUCGGGCCUCACGCCAUCAGAUGUACCCAGAUGAGAUUAGCUAGUAGGUGGGGUAAUGGCUCACCUAGGCUAUGAUCUCUAGCUGGUCUGAGAGGAUGACCAGCCACACUGGAACUGAGACACGGUCUAGACUCCUACGGGAGGCAGCAGUGGGGAAUAUUGCACAAUGGGCGCAAGCCUGAUGCAGCCAUGCCGCGUGUAUGAAGAAAGCCUUCGGGUUGUAAAGUACUUUCAGCAAGAAAGAAAGUAUUUUAGUUAAUAACUAAAAUAAUUGACGUUACUUGCAAAAGAAGCACCGGCUAACUCCGUGCCAGCAGCCGCGGUAAUACGGAGGGUGCGAGCGUUAAUCGGAAUUACUGGGCUUAAAGCGUACGUAGGCGGUUAAUUAAGUUAGAUGUGAAAUCCCCGAGCUUAACUUGGGAAUUGCAUUUAAAACUGGUUAGCUAGAGUCUUGUAGAGGGGGGUAGAAUUCUAGGUGUAGCGGUGAAAUGCGUAGAUAUCUAGAGGAAUACCAGUGGCGAAGGCGGCCCCCUGGACAAAGACUGACGCUCAGGUACGAAAGCGUGGGGAGCAAACAGGAUUAGAUACCCUGGUAGUCCACGCCGUAAACGAUGUCGACUUGGAGGUUGUGCCCUUGAGGUGUGGCUUCCGGAGCUAACGCGUUAAGUCGACCGCCUGGGGAGUACGGCCGCAAGGCUAAAACUCAAAUGAAUUGACGGGGGCCCGCACAAGCGGUGGAGCAUGUGGUUUAAUUCGAUGCAACGCGAAAAACCUUACCUACUCUUGACAUUCAGAGAAUUUGCUAGAGAUAACUUAGUGCCUUCGGGAGCUUUGAAACAGGUGCUGCAUGGCUGUCGUCAGCUCGUGUUGUGAAAUGAUGAGUUAAGUCCCGCAACGAGCGCAACCCUUGUCCUUUGUUGCCAGCACGUAAAGGUGGGAACUCAAAGGAGACUGCCGGUGAUAAGCUGGAGGAAGGUGGGGAUGACGUCAAGUCAUCAUGGCCCUUACAAGUAGGGCUACACACGUGCUACAAUGGCAUAUACAAAGAGCAGCAAACUCGCGAGAGCAAGCGAACCUCAUAAAGUAUGUCGUAGUCCGGAUUGGAGUCUGCAACUCGACUCCAUGAAGUCGGAAUCGCUAGU
rnacentral:rRNA from 1 species